rnacentral:rRNA from 1 species
AAGCGUUGUCCGGAUUUAUUGGGGCGUAAAGGGAACCGCAGGCGGUUUUUUAAGUCUGAUGUGAAAGCCCUUCGGCUUAACCCGAAGUCAUGCAUUGGAAACUGAAAGACUUGAGUGCAGAAGAGGAGAGUGGAACUCCAUGUGUAGCGGUGAAAUGCGUAGAUAUAUGGAAGACCACCAGUGGCGAAAGCGGCUCUCUGGUCUGUAACUGACGCUGAGGUUCGAAAGUGUGGGUAGCAACCAGGAUUAGAUACCCUGGUAGUCCACACCGUAAACGAUGACUGCUAAGUGUUGGAGGGUUUCCGCCCUUCGGUGCUGCAGCUAACGCAUUAAGCAUUCCGCCUGGGGAGUACGACCGCAAGGUUGAAACUCAAAGGAAUUGACGGGGGCCCGCACAAGCGGUGGAGCAUGUGGUUUAAUUCGAAGCAACGCGAAGAACCUUACCAGGUCUUGACAUCUUCUGACAGCCUAAGAGAUUAGGUGUUCCCUUCGGGGACAGAAUGACAGGUGGUGCAUGGUUGUCGUCAGCUCGUGUCGUGAGAUGUUGGGUUAAGUCCCGCAACGAGCGCAACCCUUAUUAUUAGUUGCCAGCAUUAAGUUGGGCACUCUAGUGAGACUGCCGGUGACAAACCGGAGGAAGGUGGGGAUGACGUCAAAUCAUCAUGCCCCUUAUGACCUGGGCUACACACGUGCUACAAUGGACGGUACAACGAGUCGCGAAACCGCGAGGUUUAGCUAAUCUCUUAAAGCCGUUCUCAGUUCGGAUUGUAGGCUGCAACUCGCCUACAUGAAGUCGGAAUCGCUAGUAAUCGCGGAUCAGCAUGCCGCGGUGAAUACGUUCCCGGGCCUUGUACACACCGCCCGUCACACCAUGAGAGUUUGUAACGACCCAAAGCCGGUGAGCGUAACCUUUAUGAGAGGCAGCCGUCUAAGCAUGGACAGAUGGUUGA